GACAUUGACAACAAUAACGCAGGUGUCCUGAGGGGGACUCAUAGAGAACAGAAUAUCUCCAGUAGAAAAAAGGGUAAAAGUCCCUUUGAUUUUGAUUUUUAGUGUGAAUACAAACCAUGAAAGUGUGGCCUAUCAAUCCUUUAGUCCCUCGAAAUUUAGGGCUAGAG
rfam:Pseudogymnoascus pannorum VKM F-4515 (FW-2607) contig_905, whole genome shotgun sequence.